rnacentral:lncRNA from 12 species
CCACACUGAGAGGAGUCUCUGGCCUCCUCAGGACCUGCCCUUUGGCUUCGGGAUAUAUGGGGCUGUGUCUAUGCUUACAGGAGCCCACAGCCCCCUCAGGACCCGCGGUGAGUUUUCUGGGGGACAUGGGGCCAUGUCCAGGCAUACAGGAGCCCUCGGCCUCCUGAGGACCUGCUGUGAGGCUUCCAGAGGAUGUGAGGCAUAGUCCACAGUGACAGGAGACCCAGCGUCCUCAGGACCCGCUGACUAUGACUCAGGAACACGUGGGGCCACGUCCACACGCACAGGAUCCUGGCUUCCACAGGACCCCCUGGAGGACUCUGGAGGCGCCAUUGGGGGCCACGUCCACAUCAGAAGGGACUACUCAGAACCACAGGGACCAGAAGUGAGGUUCAGGAAGAUGUGGGCCCGCAUCCACACUGCCAGGAGCCCUGGGCCGCCUCAGGUCCCGCGGGGAGGCUUCAGGAAAUUGUGGGCCCGCAUCUACGCUGACAGGAGCCCCUGAGCUGCCUCAGGACCUGUGGGGACAUUUCAGGAAGAUGUGGCACCGCUUCCACUCUGGCAGGAGCUCCCGGCCCCCUCAGGAUAUAAGUUGAGGCUUCUGGAAGCUGGGUGCUGCAUUCACGGUGACAGGACCCCCAUCCUCCUCAGGACCUGCACUUUGGCUUUGGGACGUAUGGGAAUGUGUCUAUGCUGACAGGAGCCCACAGCCUCCUCAGGACUCGCGGUGAGUUUUCUGGGGGACGUGGGGCCAUGCCCAAGCUGACAGGAGCCCCCGGCCUCCUGAGGACCUGCUGUGAGGGUUCCAGAGGAUGUGAGGCAUAGUCCACAGUGAUAGGAGACCCGGUGUCCUCAGGACCUGCUGACUAUGACUCAGGAACAUGUGGGGCCAUGUCCGCACUCACUGAGCCUGGAUUACUCAGGACCCCGUGGAGGACUCUGGAGGUGCCAUUGGGGGCCACGUCCACAUCAGAAGGGACUACUCACAACCAUAGGGUAAGUGAAUGUGUAGAAUAAAUGGUAGGGUCAGGGGAGCA